AAAUUGAAGAGUUUGAUCAUGGCUCAGAUUGAACGCUGGCGGCAGGCCUAACACAUGCAAGUCGAACGGUAACAGGAAACAGCUUGCUGUUUCGCUGACGAGUAGCGGACGGGUGAGUAAUGUCUGGGAAACUGCCUGAUGGAGGGGGAUAACUACUGGAAACGGUAGCUAAUACCGCAUAAUGUCGCAAGACCAAAGAGGGGGACCUUCGGGCCUCUUGCCAUCGGAUGUGCCCAGAUGGGAUUAGCUAGUAGGUGGGGUAAAGGCUCACCUAGGCGACGAUCCCUAGCUGGUCUGAGAGGAUGACCAGCCACACUGGAACUGAGACACGGUCCAGACUCCUACGGGAGGCAGCAGUGGGGAAUAUUGCACAAUGGGCGCAAGCCUGAUGCAGCCAUGCCGCGUGUAUGAAGAAGGCCUUCGGGUUGUAAAGUACUUUCAGCGGGGAGGAAGGGAGUAAAGUUAAUACCUUUGCUCAUUGACGUUACC
rnacentral:rRNA from 1 species